rnacentral:lncRNA from 1 species
GUUUUGCUGAAUAUGUGUUUGAUUAUUGCUUUUAAUCGUCGGCAUCAAUAAAAUAUUCCGGCUACCCUUCUAAAAUGAAUUUUUUCGACAAAUGCUUGUUGUCGGCCUCCCAUAUAGGCGCUUACUGUUUUCCUCGUUCGUGUUAUCUGGAAAUGUGCGCCAAUAAUAAAUAUUUUAUAAAUAAAUGUAAACAUCUCUUCAGAUACAAAAUCAAAAUAAAACAAAUGUGCUAUGAUUUAAGUGCAACUAUUCGAUUAUCAGCUAAUAACAAUACAUAACACAAUAACAACGUCAUUCAAAAAUAAUCAUUU